rnacentral:rRNA from 1 species
CCUACGGGAGGCUGCAGUGGGGAAUAUUGGACAAUGGGGGCAACCCUGAUCCAGCAAUGCCGCGUGUGUGAAGAAGGCCUUCGGGUUGUAAAGCACUUUUAUCGGGAACGCGGUACCCGAGGAAUAAGCACCGGCUAACUUCGUGCCAGCAGCCGCGGUAAUACGAAGGGUGCAAGCGUUACUCGGAAUUACUGGGCGUAAGGGUGCGUAGGUGGUCUUUUAAGGUUGUGAAAUCCCGGGCUCAACCUGGAAUGGCAGUGGAUACUGGAAGGCUAGAGUGCGGUAGAGGGUAGUGGAAUUCCCGGUGUAGCAGUGAAAUGCGUAGAGAUCGGGAGGAACACCAGUGGCGAAGGCGGCUACCUGGACCAGACUGACACUGAGGCACGAAAGCGUGGGGAGCAAACAGGAUUAGAUACCCUAGUAGUC